GUGUGUGUGUGUGUGUGUGUUUGUGUGUCCUUUGACCAUUCUUACCUGUGUGUGUGUGUGUGUGUUUGUCCUUUGACCAUUCUUACCUCUGUGUGUGUGUGUGUGUGUGUGUGUGUGUGUAAGGCACCUUAGCUGUGACUUUCUUGUUAAACGUCUCUUUAUCAAUAGCCUGUUGAGAAGAAACUCACACUGGUAUGGGCUGGGCUGAAGUGUGCCAGAACUGAGCUGUUGGCGGUUGCCGGUGUCUUUGUCCCUCGUAUCCAGCUGUUGGCGGUUGCCGGUGUCUUUGUCCCUCGGAUCCAGCUGUUGCCGGUGUCUUUGUCCCUCGGAUCCAGCUGUUGCCGGUGUCUUUGUCCCUCGGAUCCAGCUGUUGGCGGUGUCUUUGUCCCUCGGAUCCAGCUGUUGCCGGUGUCUUUGUCCCUCGGAUCCAGCUGUUGGCGGUGUCUUUGUCCCUCGGAUCCAGCUGUUGGCGGUGUCUUUGUCCCUCGGAUCCAGCUGUUGCCGGUGUCUUUGUCCCUCGGAUCCAGCUGUUGGCGGUGUCUUCGUCCGUCGGAUCCAGCUGUUGGCGGUGUCAUUGUCCCUUGGAUCCAGCUGUUGGCGGUGUCUUUAUCCCUCGGAUCCAGCUGUUGGCGGUGUCUUUGUCCCUCGGAUCCAGCUGUUGGCGGUGUCUUUGUCCCUCGGAUCCAGCUGUUGCCGGUGUCUUUGUCCCUCGGAUCCAGCUGUUGGCGGUGUCUUCGUCCGUCGGAUCCAGCUGUUGGCGGUGUCAUUGUCCCUUGGAUCCAGCUGUUGGCGGUGUCUUUAUCCCUCGGAUCCAGCUGUUGGCGGUGUCUUUGUCCGUCGGAUCCAGCUGUUGGCGGUGUCUUUGUCCCUCGGAUCCAGCUGUUGGCGGUGUCAUUGUCCCCUGAAAACAGCGGUUGGCGGUGUCAUCCUGCACUCUGACAUGAGUGUGUAGCGGUGUCAUCCUGCAGUCUGACAUGAGUGUGUGUGUGAAAAAAAAAAAAAAAAAAGUCCGAUGACGCUUGUGUAGCGGCCGUGGAGAUCUCGUGCAGGAGAUAGUUUGUAUACUAUAGCCUACAUGGAGAAUACCAAAACAAAUUCCUAGUAUCUGUAUACAUGGCGAAAUAAAGUUGAAUUGAAUUGAAUUGAAUUGAGUGUGUGUGAGUGUGUGUGAGAGUGUGUGUGUGUGAGAGUGUGUGUGUGUGUGUGUGAGAGUGUGUGUGUGUGUGUGAGAGAGUGUGUGUGAGUGUGUGUGUGUGGGCCUCCUGUAUGAGCUGUUGCUGUUGUGUUUUCAUGCAUCUUCAGUCCUAACCAAUCGCUGCCAAUCUCUGUGUGUGAUGCAACAGGCUAAAUUAGUUCCAGCCCCCUUCUCCAUAUUUGUGGACACAUGACUCACAAACAUGGAGAAGGGGGCUGGAACUAAACACACACACACACUCUCACACACACACUAGAGAGCUCCAGACCACCGUGGCGACAUGAGUGGUGACUGGAGUCCUGCGUUGUUCUGUUCAUAGCUCGCGCACGGCGCACAAGGCCAGUAGAGGCAUUGUGUUUAGCUAUCGCUAGCUCACGCACGGCGCACAAGGCACAGUAGAGGCAUUGUGUUUAGCUAUCGCUAGGCGAAUGGGAAUCAGUGCAGCUGUUGCUCUGUUGUUAGCCAGUGCUAAGUGAGCGCUGGAGCUACAGGGAGGGCUGGAGCUGUGUGGGGUGGUGUGGAGGACCUGCUCCACUGACUGCUCAGACAGAAAUAGCACAUGAGCGAGCGUGUCCAUUUCCACUGGCUGCCACUCAACACCAGCCCCACGCAGAGCCGCGUACGCGACAGGCUAACCUUGCGCGCUAACCUCGCACGCUAGCCUCGCUAGCCUCCUCCUGCUUCAAAGCAGCUGCUGCAGCAGGCCUUUCGCUUUCUCAAAACUGGCCAACCGAUGAGAAGAGACUGCUCCCGGUAACCGUGGGAAACUAUCUAUCUCGGAAUACUCUUCAAUGCCCCCCAUUCCACCAUGGAACCCUGCACAAGAAUGAAAAGGGAGGCGAUGAGGUAGUGGUCUGCUGAGCUCUUAACAGUCUGACCGAAGAGCACACGUGUGUGUGUGUGUGUGUGUGUGUGUGUGUGUGUCCUCUCCAGCCUCUCGCUCUGUGAGUGAGUUCGGUGUGUGUGACCAUGAGCUGCCUGGACAAGCGGAGUGUGUGUCUGCGCGUGACACACCACCACCGGAACCUGACCAGCUCGUGCGAGAGCCUGACGGACGAGGCCGAUCGCGAGGUCAGCACGCUGACGGACCGCGCCUUCCACUCGCUCUGCAUCGGCGACGAGGCCGUCUACAACGACGCCGAGUUCCUCACGCCGUCGCCCAGCAGCUGCCUGCUCAAGCCGCUGGCGGACGAGCACGCACGGAAGGUUCUGGAGAAUGCCCCGAGCCUCGUCAACAAGAAACUCGGCUCCAACGGCGCCGCCACCGUCGCCUGGCAGCACAAGGAUGUGUCGUCUCUCCUGUCCGCCUUCACAGCCGGGAAGAAUGGCGGCGCCGCCGCUAGAAUCCCGAACGGAACGCCGGCUGGGAAUAACGCGGAGUCGUGGGAUAAAUCGGCUCUGCUGAGCAUCCAGAGGGAGCUGGCAGAGUUCUCCAGCGACUUCUACAGGAGCCUGGCCGACGGCAGCUUCGCCGACGCCACCGGGAAGCAUAAAGGCGGAUCCACCGCCGAGAAAAAAUCCUGCAAGGAAACGUCCGGCAAGGAUGCCACCGCUUGCGCUUCCUCGGGGGGGAAGUCCUCCAAGUCCAAACACAGCAGCAGGUCCAGCAAGCUGAAGAAGCUGAACUCCCGCAACUUCUUCCUGCACAGCGAGUUCAGCCCGUUCCAGGCGUGGGAGGACCUACACCAGUUCCCCUUCGGACAGGAGAACAUUUCCGACCUGCUGCCGCCCCCCCACAGCUUCCCCCGCUGGGGCGACACCACCACUCUCUACAGACACCUCACUGCCGCACACACACUCAGUCCUGCCGCACACACACUCAGUCCUGCAGCACACACACUCAGUCCUGCAGCACACACACUCAGUCCUGCAGCACACACACUUGACCUUGCACACAGAUCAGGAGCCUUGCGGGGCCCAGAGGCAGUGCAGAGGACGGAGAGGUCACACAAAACUGAAACUGCACAGAGAUCAAAACACACUCAGAUACUCGACACAGCACAGGGCACUGAAAAUGUACAAAUAACUGCAACUGUGCAAAGGGCUGAAAGUGGACAAAAGACUGAGACCGCACAGAGAUUUGACACUGUGCAAAGAAUUGAAAGUGCACAGAGAAUUGACACUGUGCAAAGAAUUGAAAGUGCACAGAGAAUUAACACUGUGCAAAGAAUUGAAAGUGCACAGACAACUGCGACUGCACAGAGGGUGGACGAGUCAAAGAGAGCAGCGCGCCUGCGGGGGGGGGAGGGGGCUGAGCCGCUGCCCAAACCUGCAGGGGUGGAGGGGGGGCCGCCGGCUGCGGUACAGACUCCCUCUCUGGUGCCAAACCCUGCUGCCUUGGAGCAGCGCCGCCCCUCGGCAGACAGCGCGGAGUGUAGCGCCCCCUGGAGGCGAAACAGGAGCAGGGCGAGGAGCGCUGCCCCCGGUGGCCAAAGGGAGAAGAGCUCCCCCGCCACCGAGCCGCCCAGGAGACAGGAAGUGAGACAGGAAAUGAGAGAGGAAGUGAGACGCAUGGAGGAGCAGAGCUCCCCCGCCACCGAGGCCGGGCCGCCCAGGAGACAGGAAGUGAGACAGGAAGUGAGACAGGAAGUGAGACGCAUGGAGGAGCAGAGCUCCGCCAGCUCCACGCCGUUCAACAUCACACACCUGCUCACGCCCGUCAUCCUCUGUCGCCAGGAUACGGAGAGCUUGGAGCCCGCCCUCUUCUCGCCCGUGACCCUUGACCUCCCCGUUGCUGCAGUGCCCGAGCCCUCGCCCGAGACGAAGACGAAGGCGCGCGAGAGCUACCGGUCCAUGGCCACCAGCCUGCUCUUCAACCUCAAGGACAACAGGAAGAGAGUCAAGGCCAUGUACAGCCCGCCCAAGUUCAGACCCACCAGAGACCCACCUGCCCACCAGAGCAAGCCGGAGGGCACAGACAUGUCCGCGUGCACAGCUGCCCACCAGAGCAAGCCAGAUGGCACAGACAUGUCCGCGCGCACAGCGGACGGGCGACACCAGGACACGCGGGGGACAGAUCAGCUCUGCGUUCCCAACAGCGUUCCCAACAGCGUCGUCGCGCAGGGAGGCUCCCCCCAGGAGGCCCUGAGCAGGAGUCCUGUUGUGGUGAACACGUCUGGAUACCCGUGUCGGAAUCUGUACGCUACUGCUGAGGUUGCCACGGAGACUCAGGAACAGAACAGGCGUGGCCACGUCAAGGAGACCCCCAAGAGAUCGGUCAAGGACCGAGUCAAAGAGCUGCAGAGGCAGAACGCCGCGACUGUGAGUAAGGACCCCGGAAAGAGAGGCAAAGAAAUACCACCUGUGUGUCCUACUACUGGCCUCCAGGCCAUAGAUGGUGCUGUGGAUAAAGAAGGAGACAGAGAUACAUUAAAAGAGGAGAGACGACUGCCUGAUUUACCAGAGAAACCAUCUGAGAAACCCAAACCAGCCAAACAACCCCCUCCUGUAGCAGCCAGAGUCAAACUCUCUUCAUCACCCAGAGAGACACACUCCAUCUCCAACACUAAACACUCUUCACCCAGAGAGACACACUCCAUCUCCAACACUAAACACUCUUCACCCAUCGAGACACACCCCUCACCGAGAGAGACACACUCCGACACUAAACACCCCUCACCCAGAGAGACAGACUCCAACAUUAAACACUCUUCACCCAGAGAGACACACUCCAUCUCCAACACUAAACACCCUUCACCCAGAGACACAGACUCCAACUCUAAACACUCUUCACCCAGAGAGACACACUCCAUCUCCGACACUAAACACACUUCACCCAGAGAGACAGACUCCAUCUCCAACACUAAACACUCUUCACCCAGAGACACACACUCCAUCUGUGACGCUUCACCCAGAGACACACACUCCAACAAUAAACACUCUUCACCCAGAGAGACACACUCCGACACUAAACACUCUUCACCCAGAGAGACAGACUCUAGCUGUGACGCUAAACACGCCUUCUCUGCUCGGCAGAACAACUACAUCAAAAGCCAGAGGAGCGCCUUCGUGGGGGAGCAGGAGGAGGAGUGUGAGGAGUGGGACGAGCUCAGAGAGGAGGCUCUGCUGAAGGAGGUGAAGGCUGAGCUUCAGGAGCAGCAGCGGGCAGAGAGAACUAAGGCUGAGCUUCAGGAGCAGCAGCGGGCAGAGAGAACUAAGGCUGCGCUUCAGGAGCAGCAGCGGGCAGAGCAGCGGGCAGAGAGAGCUAAGGCUGAGCUCCAGGCUCGUCAGGAGCAGCAGCGGGCAGAGAGAACUAACGCUGAGCUUCAGGAGCAGCGGGCAGAGAGAGCUAAGGCUGAGCUCCAGGCUCGUCAGGAGCAGCAGCGGGCAGAGAGAACUAACGCUGAGCUUCAGGAGCAGCGGGCAGAGAGAGCUAAGGCUGAGCUUCAGGAGCAGCAGCGGGCAGAGAGAGCUAAGACUGAGCUUCAGGAGCAGCAGCGGGCAGAGAGAACUAAGGCUGAGCUCCAGGACCAGCAGCGGGCAGAGAGAACUAAGGCUGAGCUUCAGGAGCAGCAGCAGCGGGCAGAGAGAACUAAGGCUGAGCUUCAGGCUCGUCAGGAGCAGCAGCGGGCAGAGAGAACUAAGGCUGCGCUUCAGGAGCAGCAGCGGGCAGAGAGAGCUAACGCUGAGCUUCAGGAGCAGCGGGCAGAGAGAGCUAAGGCUGAGCUUCAGGAACAGCGGGCAGAGAGAGCUAAGGCUGAGCUUCAGGAGCAGCAGCGGGCAGAGAGAACUAAGGCUGAGCUUCAGGAGCAGCGGGCAGAGAGAACUAAGGCUGAGCUUCAGGAGCAGCGGACAGAGAGAACUAAGGCUGAGCUCCAGGCUCGUCAGGAGCAGCAGCGGGCAGAGAGAACUAAGGCUGCGGACCACCAGCGCGCGGGACUCCGCUCCGCUCCGAAAGAGUCUCCGAUGCCCCCCCGGGACGACGUACCAGCGCCAAAUGAGAGCCCAAGGCGUGAAAAUAACAUUCUGUUACCCUCGCCCUUGCCUGACGGGCGCACCCAAAAGGGCAUCGUACCCCUCAGAGGCAACACACUGGCCAAGCGAGACCUGUUCGCCAACAUGCACCCGCAGCCACCGGGCAGACACGCCACGAGGCAGAACGCCACGCUCGACAAAUACGACCUGGCCAAGAUGGCGCUGGAGGAGGUCAUAGCGGAGAGAGAGGAGAGGAAGAGGAGAGGUCAGGGGUCAUCGGAACACAAGCAGCAGGGAGGUGUAGAGGACCGUCAGGAGAACAGAACCGUGGUCUCACAGCAGAGAGAGAGAGAACCGAGCAGGGUUCUGAGGGACAGAAGGGAGAACAGACAGGAUAUUUCUGUGCGCGGCGACCAGACGAUGCACUCUGACCAGCAGGCCGAGAGCACUAAAGGACCUGUGGCCCCUCGAGGGCAAUUAGCCAAGGGUGUUCAUCAACAAGACCCCACGCCCCCCACCAAACAGAUCAAACACAACAGAGAAGGAAAGUCAGGCGAGAGGGGGAGGGUGGGUGGCGCUGAUGAGACUGGCAGGGGGAGGGGGGGUGGCGCUGAUGAGACUGGCGGGGGGAGGGGGGGCACUCAGUCUUACCCACCGUCGGAGAGGGACAGGGAGGGGGAGAGGGUGAAGAGGCAGGAGAGCUCAGAGAGAGAGGGAACAGGUUACAGCAGGAGCGAGAAGGCUGGUAGGGAACGUGGCCGUCAGAGCACAAGAUCGCCACCUGCUGUUCCUCCCAGGAAAGGCAAAGCUGGCACGAGGGAGGAGGACAGGACUGGCACGAGGGGUGAGGGCAAAGCUGGCACGAGGGAUGAGGACAGGAGUGGCACGAGGGGUGAGGACAGGACUGGCACGAGGGGUGAGGGCAGGACAGCAGAGGAAGACUAUGCAGAGCAGGAAGCAGGAAGCACUAAAGACGAGGGGAGGGAACAUGUGCAUGGAGACAGGAAGACUGAACAGAAGGGACAAGAUGAAACUCAAAACAACAACAAGCACUUAGAGAUGAGCAAACAUAACAAACAUGAAGCCCACUUAGAGAUGAGCAAAGAUAACAAACAGAAUAACUCUACUGAGGACUCUGCUAAGACUAGUACACAAGAGUCCUGGACAAAGACAGUCACCUACACAGAGAAAGAGUCACAGAAAGCUGAGAAUAAGACUCAUGAAAGAGAUACGCUGCACAAAACAAAGAUAAAACCAGAGAUAAACUCAAAACAGUUCGAGACAGCGCAGAAGCAAACCCCUAAGGGGCAGGAAUGUCCUGGUUCUCCAGAGGUGCAGGAAGUGAUUCGCGGGUCGUCUCUUGGGGAAGAGAAGAGUGAGAAGGAGGAGGAGGCGAAGGAGAGAGACAGCGAGGUGUCCGCUCAGAAGGGUCAGAGGGCGAAGCAGAGGCAGAGUUAUGUGAAAGACUUCUUAAGCCUGCUGGGGCUGUCCGGCGAAGAGAAGGCCACAGCUGACCACGAGGCAGCUACCGAGAGGAACAGCAGCGAACACCAACCUGCGUCCCCUGAACUCCACAACACACACACACCUGUGGGGGACAGCGUAACCAUUCACGACAUCCUGAAGCACAGGUCCCCCCCCGUGUACAGUCCACUGCAGUCCCCCGUGAGGUCCCCCUCUUCAUACAGCCAUAACUUAUCUCAGAAGCACUCAACAGAACAGGAGUGCAGCGUUAAGUUGGAGCAGAGAGGAGCAGAUGUUAGCAAGCCAAAGGAGGACUUGGUGAAGCCAAAGGAGGACUUGGUGAAGCCAAAGGAGGACUCGGUGAAGCCUGAGUUAGACUACUGCACCUUCGGUGACCCAGGAAGUGAAUCAGAUGCUUCGGAGCGGCAGAUUGUGUCUCCUCUCAGUGACCUGGACCACGCCGGAUGGCUCCGCGGUCUGAUCGAACACGCCCAGAGCCUCACCCCGAAAGACCUGACACCCGUCAGCUUGACCCCCAGCCAGUCCAAUGCCUCCUCACCCACCCCGGCCACCAAGCCAGUGCUGUUCAAGGUGAAGGACAACACGUUCGCCUCCUCCUCCACCUCCUCCACCUCCUCCCCCGUCACCAAGACGGUCCGGCCCGUCCUGCACAAGUCCGUCCAGGACAUGAUCACAAAGCCCUGGUCCCCCCCGCAGGACAGCCUGAGCGGCUCAAAGCCCUGGUCCCCGCAGGAGAACCCGAGCGGGUCAAAGCCCUGGUCCCCCCCGCAGGAGAGUCUGAGCGGGUCAAAGCCCUGGUCCCCGCGCGAGAGCCUGAGCGGGUCCGAGAGGGGCGAGGAGGAGCCGGACCGCCCCAGGGAGGCACUGCGGAUCCCCAUCUUGGUGGAGACGGCCAGCUCCCCACUCCCAGAGAGCUCCCACUCCACACCUGCAGAGGGCGCCGCUGCCCCUCUGCCCCCCUCACCCUCCCGGCCGCCCCCCUCACCCUCCCGGCUGCCCCAGGGGCAGAUGCUGGAGGUGCCGGAGGAGGGGGGGCGGGGCUCUGUCUCGAGUAGCCUAUCGGAGGGCGUGAGAAGCAACGACACGAGCGUGGGUGACGAGACGGGGCUGGGCGCGGCACAGACCGACGACCCAGAGGGCGAGAGGUGCGAGUCGGAGUCGGUCUGCAGUGGCACAGAGGGCACAGAGGGUCUGAGCAGGAAGCCCCCGCCCGCCGUCUUGCCCAAAAGUGAGAAGGCACUGAGACGGGCCAAGAGGCUGACCACCCGCCGCAUCCAGAAGGCAGAGGUGAAGGGCCGCAAAACGGACCGCAAGAACCGCAGUGCAGAGAAGCCGGAACCCGACAAGAAGAACCACAGCGGAGAGAAGGUAGAGCUCGACCUGAAGAACUGGAUCCAGAACAAUCCAGGGACUGACCAGGAGCACCAGGGCAGAGAGAGAACAGAGUCAGAGCACAAUCACCACAGCAGUGAUCACCAUAGCAACAGGCACAUUCACCACAGCAGUGAUCACCAUAGCGACAGGCACAUUUACCACAGCAGCAGCAGCGAGAAACAACAGGACAAAUCGAAAAACAGUGAUCACCAUAGCAACAUGCCCUCGAGCCACAGCGGUCCCCAUGACCACGACCGCAAAGGCAGGAGCGGCGAGAAACACGCGCGCGUCAAACAUGCGAGCUACAGCAGCGACAGGCACAUCGGCAACCAUAGAGACCUGAGGAGCCAUGGCAACGGGAGAGACUCUGCUGAGCAGGUGUCCGAGCAGCAUCAGCAUCAGCAUCAGCACCAGCACCAGCAGGUUUACCUGAUGGAGAGUCCCAGUGAUAUCGGUUGCCGUGGCGACCGGAGGAGCAGGAGUCUGGAGCGAGACCUCCAGCCCCGCCCCAGCCAGCACCGGCGCCAGUCACGUGACCACAACCACGCAGGAAGUGACAUCAAAUCAGCCCAGUCACGUGACCUCAACCACGCAGGAAGUGACAUCACAUCAGCCCAGUCGUCCAGAGGUUCAUCCCGCCGCACCUCCCUCAACGGCCUCCUUGUGCGUCAGAACAGCUCCGAGCACACGUACCCCCCCCAGACCACACGUACCCCCCCACGACCUCUAACCUGGUGCCCCAGUCCUUCCCCAUGACCCAGCGGAAGCUGCUGCAGGAUCCCGACUCGGGCCAGUACUUUGUGGUGGACAUGCCAGUGCAGGUCAAGACCAAGACCUUCUUCGACCCGGAGACCGGCAGCUACGUGCACCUCCCUGUGCAGUCAGCAGAGGGCGCUCUGCCAGCAGGGCCGGGUCCCGUCUCUAUGGAGAUGCUGAACCCGUCCAUGGUGGUGUACCACGGGUUCGUGCCGGUGCCUGUGUCGUCCUCUCUGCCCCAGCAUAAAGCCAAUGCUCCCUCUGGUGAGGGCAUGGAGGUGGUGAUGGAGAACAGUGCCCCCCAGUGGCAAGAGGACUGUACUCACAAACGCAGUAGAAAUGAACAUCCUUACAUAGAGCCAGCGUAUGUGUUGAAGGAGCACACUCCUGAGGAGGAGCUGGACAGCAUGAGAUGAGAGAGGAGGAGGAGGAGGAGGAGGAAGAGGAGGAGGAGGACAGCAUGAGAUGAGAGAGGAGGAGGAGGAGGAGGAGGAGGAGGAGUGGUAGAAUGAUAAUACGGACAGUGUGGAGUUCAAAUGAGCUUAAGAUUGAAAGCUUUUGAAUUCAGGGAUUGCCAGUUGUUUUUGAUAUGCACUCUGUAAUGGUUUUACUCAAGGAGUGGUUGAAGACGUGUAAAUAUGCUGUGUGUUUGAAUAGACACUAAGAGACUGUAAAUCUUUCUGUGAAUGAAGGGCAGUGUCUGUUUCUACACUCUCAGGCCUUGCUGUUUUUUUAAAUGAUGAAGAAUGUAAAAAUAGCUUUUGCUAUAUUUUUGUACUUUUGCCUUGAUCUCAGUGACUGAACACCCGUGUGAUUUGUAAUGCUUUAUUUGAAACCUAUUCUAAACACAGACGUGAUGACUAAUGUCUGUUUUCAAAUGUAUUCUGAACACGAAUCACGUGAUUGGUAAUGUCUGUUUUAAAACGUAUUCUCUACAAUUGCUGACACGUUUUGAGUGUUGAUGUGAAGAUUACUUUUUGAAGAGAGUUGUGUGGCCAUCGCUUUACUACUGACGUGUAGGCAUGGAGAGUAACGUCAAGGUGGCCCGAACCGUACACUUUGUUUAGGACGUGAUUUUCUGAGACAGCUUUUGGAAGACGCAUAUUUUGGAAUUAAGUAGUAUUCAUGGUGAAACGGAGAUGAGUCGGCUUCAUAUGUAAACCAUUCCAAUAAAAUACUUGCCAUGCCAGCUAAUGCCUCACCCCCCCCCCCCCCCCCCGAGUCUGAUCUGUUAUAUCUCAGGACGGACUUCCUUGUGACAUUUUAGAAUCAGAAUCAGAAUGGGAUUUAUUGGAAUUUUUUCUGGUGUGAAGGUGCAUACAGUAAACAUAAAAACAUACAAACACAAUAAGUACUACACAUAACAUACAAACAUAAAAACACAAAUAAGUACUACACAUAAGAAAAGUACUACACAUAAGAACCAAAAAACACAAUAUAUACGAUACAAAUAGAUAAACAAUGAAUAAAAAAAAGUAU
ensembl:lncRNA